UCUCUUCCAAAUCACGUGUUUCUUUCCAAAUCAGAAUCUUUCCCUUUCGCUCUAAAACCUAACUUCAGAGUGUUCCGCUCCGCGAUUAAGCCAUGUUGUAGCAGCGAUCUUCGUCGCGCCAACUCGGCCGUGCCGUCUCCGUCGCGCUAGCUCUGCCGCGUCGUCUCCGUCGCGCCAGCUCUGCCGCGUCGUCUCCGUCGCGUCAGCUCCGUCCCGCGGUCUUCAUCGCGCCAGCUUCGUCGAAAACCUAAGUUCAGAGUGGCAAUCGAUUCCGCUCCGCGAUUAAGCCAUGCCGUAGCCUCUGUUGCAGCGAUCUUCGUCGCGCCAGUUUCGUCUUGUGGUCUUUUGAGAGGACAUGGUGUGGGUCCUUUUGGUUUGAGACUUUUGGUGUGGGUUCGAUGCAUGAAUUCUCUCAGUUUUUAGUUCUUCAGUUUGAACUUGUUCACAAUGGUCGAGGUUCACAUUAUUUUAUUGUGUUCCAGCAAUUUAAUGUUUGCUUUUGUUAGCCAGGCAGAGCUAGCAGUUUCUGAAUUUUCUGGAAAUGGUGCUGGAAUACUAUCUACUGCUAGCACAGCUGCCAGUACUUUUCUCUUAGUUUUUGUCUCCGAAUGGGGUGAUUAGUCAUUUUUCUCCACAAUUGCCCUUGCAGCUGCCUCUUCUCCCUUUGGAGUCAUUGCUGGAGCACUGGCGGGUCAUGGUGUUGCAACUUUGCUCGUAAAGCACCGGAAAUAAGGCUAUGCUAUCUGGAGAAGACCUUAUGUUUUGGAAGAGUCUAAUUCAUCUAGCUGUACUCGGGGGCUCUUUACUUGGAACGUAUUUAUCAGAGAAGCUGUCAAUGGACUCAUCACCUAAUCUCAACUAGCAUCCUGGUUUUAUUCUCUAUCUCUUUAUUCAUUUGUCAUUUGUCAUGUUUAUGUGGCCUAUAUUAUUAAAACUAGCAUUAUUUGUGUGGCCUACAUAGAAGAACAACUACCAUUUGUGUGGCCUAUAUUAUUAUGCAGAAAAUUUAAAAACUGUUCUAAUGUAUAUUCUAAUACUAAAACUUACAAAACACUAUUAUAACAAUGAUAACAAACCUAAAUUGCCCUUUAGAAACUAUUAUUAAAAUUAUCUACUCUCUAGAAUUAUAACAGCAAAAUAAAAAAAUGCACUUAUGAAACAAAAAACACCAAAACUAAAACUGCAGCAAAACAAAGCAAGUAAAAUAAAACUAAUUUUCUAUCUCUAACUAGCUCUAAACUAAACUAAACAACUUCAUAUUCACUAAACUAUCUAAUUAGAUAAAAUGAGGGCUCUGUGAAAUGUGUGAAUGUGCUAAGGGUUUCACUUUCAUAUAUAGAGACAAACAUUAGAGAUUGAUCUAAAAAAUGUUUCUGUUUCUGGUUUCAUUCUGCUCUCAUUUGGUCACGUGAUAUUAUGAUUAAGCAGCAUGAUAUAGUAAUAAUCAUCCACCAUAUUAUAUAUACUUACACAUGCAUCACUCCAAUCAUACAAAAAAAGUGUACCAGAUCAUUUUUGUUGUAGCCUCCAUCAUUGAGUAUUUUCUUCUUCUUCUUCAUGUUCUUGUGGUGUUUAGCAGAUUUUUGUGCAGUUGUAGAACUUUCUGGAGUGGACAAAUUGCAGCACCAUUUCCAUUUGGUUCUGCACCUUUUAUUGGCUUUCCACUGAGUGUUAUUAUGUUGACAUGGCUGCUUCUCCCAGUGCUGACAUGGCUACUUGAGGGUAUGGAUUUUCAUAAACAGGAAUCACAAGUUAGUGAGUUCUCAUUAAUAUGAAAUUGAAGGAGCAACAUUUGGUAGUCACUUCUGAGAAGCAAACUGGUGAUGUAAAUGAGCCUGAGUCUUCUAUGGGUACAAGAGGAUCAUCUGGUGGUAGCAACAUUUAGGGUGUUGAUGAUGUUUUUUAGGAUGAAACUAUUUUAGUGUAUUAUGAACUUUGAGUAAGUAUGGAUUAAGUUGUAAUUGUUUCAAUUUAAAUUGCUUUUAUGUUAAUAUGUUG